rnacentral:lncRNA from 1 species
UUUGUAAAAGACUAUACAUAUCAAACAUCAGCCUAGCUUUCAACGGGGACUAACACACGUAAUCGAUAUACUAGUAGACGGACCAGACUGCAAUCUCUCAUCUAAUGGGUUUGACUUGGAUCUGACCCUGAAGACAAAUCCAGGUGGUUGAGGAAUAUGCAACGUAAUGGAUGUAUUAGUGAGCAUACGAAAGACUGUAGACAUGGUUGGACGAUCUGUAGGAUUUUCUUGAACGCAUAACAAUCCAAUGUGGAUGCACCUAAACACUUCAUUUCUGUCAUAAUUCUCCUCCAUGGCCGGGUCUAUCAUUUCCAGCAAUGAGUCAUUGUUCCAAAGCCUCCAUACCUAUUCAAGUCAUUUAUCAAGAAAAUAGUGUUGACAUCCAUGAUCAUUGCUAAAACAAGUAGAAGAGUUUGAGCUUGGCAUUGGAAUUUGUACUAACAUAUGUGACCAAGUUGCUUAUUGAGCCGUCUGUCUCGUUGAAGCUACUAUUCUUUUUUCCACAAAUAAUCUCCAUAAUCAAUACUCCGAAGCUAUACACAUCUGAUUUCGUGGAGAACUGUCCACUUGUCACAUACUCUGGUGGCAUGUAACCGCUAUAAAAUAUAACUUUUUAUCAACAACAACACUGAUAGACAAAAUAUAAUUACUAUGAACAAUUACUUACAAUGUUCCGACUACUCUUCCUGUGGUAGCUUCAGUUUGGUCCACACCAAAAUUUCUAGCCACACCAAAAUCUGCAAUCUUCGGGUUCAAGUGCUCAUCUAAAAGAAUGUUACCCGCUUUGAGGUCACGGUGUAUAAUUGUGAGCCGCGAAUCUUGAUGAAGAUACAAAAUCCCACGAGUAAUUCCCUCGAUAAUGUUGUAUCGUCUUGUCCAAUCCAGUUGACUACUCUUCUUCGGGUCUGGAAUAAAUCCCAUAUAUCAGCUGAUUAGACUUAUGAGAUCAAGAACCAAGGUUUCGAGAAUAUAAGCCUAUAAUAUAUCAUAUGUUUCUUACCAAAAAGGAAGUGAUCGAGACUUUUAUUGGGCAAAAACUCGUAGACUAAUAUCUUUUCUUCUCCUUUGACAGAAAACCCAAGAAGCCUAACAAGAUUCUUAUGUUGAAGCUUUGCUACAAGAAACACCUCGUUCUUGAACUCUUCUUCACCUUGUCCUGACUUUUUAGACAGCCUCUUCACAGCAACUUGUGCUCCAUUCGGUAACGUUCCCUGUCAAUUCAUAUGAUCUUCUUUACUUAAUUACCGGAAUCUGUUUUGUUCUUGUGUAACACAAAUAAGUACAUGGGACAAAUAAUAUACCUUGUAAACUUCACCAAAUCCACCAUGACCAAGCUUGUUAUUACUAUGAAAAUUACUUGUGGCAGCUUCAAUUGUUUUAAACUCGAAUUGUAGUGAACCUGAAGUUGUAAUAUCAUCCACAGCUGCAGAACAAAUGUAUACAUAAUUUUAUAUAUACUAAAUACAUUUGUCUCUCAGUUCCAUAGUCCUUUACCAUUAUAAGCCUUCCAAAAUCUAUUUGUAACACAUAAAUAGUAACCGUCUGAGAAGAACAUAGAGAGGAAAAAAAAACAUUUUGAACUUAUUUUUUGAAAAACAAGAAACUCACAAUCACUUGUAAAUGCUUUGUAUGCUUUUCUCCUCUUCCAAAGAGCAAAUCCAAGAGCAAUCACUACGACGGGAGCAACGACAAUUGCCACAAUAGUUCCUUUAGAAAUCUUUUUGUCGUCUGCACCAACCAAAACCACCAAAUGAAUGAAAAAUAUUGGCACCAACUUAAGAACAGGGCAGAAAAAUUAAAACAAGGUUUGAUAUGGAUAUGACCUAACAACGAUUACAAAACAUGAUCAUACCUUUAUCAAGAGGAGGCAUAUUAUCGAAAAGUGCCAAGAACGGAUAAACCUCCCACCUUAUGAAGCAGCUAGGCCUAGAAAUAAUGCCUCCUUGUCUCCCAUGGCAACAAGACCUAUACUCAAUCACGUCCUGCUGCAGACAAUAAGUGCAGUUUUCAAGAGACAAGUCUCUACUACACUGCACAGCACCGUAAACGUGGGAGAUAGACGACUCAAGCUUCUGCGUUCCGGCUGCGUAGUACAAAGUGGAAGCUUGAUCUAUCAAACCAAUCAUCAAAGCCUCCCAUUCACUGUCUAGAUCCGUCAUCAUGUCAUCUUGAAAAAUUCUUGUAUAGUUCUCACUCCGGAGAAUUUCCAUACCGAGCGACCCGUAAAACGAGCGGUUCGAGUAACGUACAAGACAGAGUGUUCUGUCCAUCCUCCAGUCUAUACCUUCCAUCUGGUUAGUACAGUUCCGUAACAAUCUAGCAGACGAAGAGAUGAUACAGUCAGAGCAAGAUCGAGUGUUAGAACCAGGGGCACACAUCCCUAGACCGUACACUCUGUUGGGAUCUUGUCCGGUCGAUGUUGUGUAGAAGCCGUCAUUGGCUGUGACGAGGGAAGGAAGAGAAGCGAGCAUGAGUCGGCGGUUUAAGUCGUAAGUACCAUUGGGUGUGAAAAAACCAGAUCUUUCAAAGCAUAUAUCUGCAGAAACAAGAAUAGAGGUUAAGAGGACAAUCCAGAAGAGGACGAACAACAAGUCGUCCAUCUUGGUCUUUUUUUCUUGUGUUUGAUUGUCUGAAAUUAAAAACUUUGAAUUCUUGAAUGUUUAUACUCAUUUUCAGUUUCAAUUGGCUGUACAAAAUUGACCAAUUCUUAUUGAAUAUUCUAACUUAAAAAGUCUUUGGAAGAUGACCAGUCGAUGUCAAUGAUGUGGCUAGUGAGUUAAGACUUUUGGUCAUACUUGCCAGGUCAAUGGAGUGCCGUUUUUAGUAGGGGUAUGCAUAGACGAAUAGUAUUAUAGUAAUUUUUACUCUCUGUUUGUUUUUGUAUGAUAUUUUGAAUAUAUUUUUGUUUCAGUACGUAAGAUUUUUUGAGACUUUUCAUGCAAAAUUAUUAAAAUUAUUGAUAAAAUAGUAUUAGAAGCCAGCUAGUAAACGUUUGUUGUUUCCAAAAUGUACACUUUACAAUAAAGUCAAACAGCAUUAGUUGCCUAUAUUUUAUUACCUCUUUUAUUAACAGCUAAUUAUAUUUUCUGAGAUUUGUUUUCAUUAUUUUUCAACGAUUAAGAUUGUGAACUUGUGAUCAAACCAUUUUUGUAAGAAACAAAUGGAUCCAAAAGAAAAAAAAAUAAAAUAAAAGAAGAACAAAUGGAAUACAAAGAAAGCAACUCACGAAAUGUGAAAAGAAUCUAUGAAACACAUUCAGUUCAGAAAUUAGAUUUAAACAAGUUACCUAUGGAAGAAGAGCUUCAGCCGAAGAUGAAGGUUGAUGAAACUGUAUUGGCUAUUCUGAAAAUUAAUUUUCCCAAAGCUUUUUGGCUUUGAUAUCUAGUCUUCUAUCUAUGUAAGUUUCUUAUUUUAAGUCUUAUGCUUUUUUUUUGUAUUUUAAGUAUUUUUAAUUUGUUUUAUUUUGAAAAAAUAUAGAUAUCUUGUUUUCGGAUAUUUAAAUAAUUUAUGAAUAUUUAUAAAUAUUUACAGGUAUUUCAUCUUUUUAUUUAAUACAAGUAAAUUUAGAAAAAGCUAUACAAUUUUUUUUUAACAAAUGUUACAUAAUAUAAAUAAAAAUUAACAAUUAGUGAAACUUUAUGUUUUGUACACUUUUUAAAUUAAUUAUCUUUAAUAAAACAUAAAAGUUAAGAAAUUAUUGUUUAAAAAAAUAUUUAUAUUCUUUUCUUAAUUUAAAACUUUGUAAAUAAUAUUACAUAUUAAAUAAUGUAAAAUAAUAAUUAUAUAAAACUAUAUAUUUAAGUGUAGAUAUACAUAUAUUUGUAUAAAAACCGGAGCGGAGGGGAUAUCCGUCUCUGAAAAUUUAGUAUUUAUGAUUUGUUCUAAUUUUAGUGAAUACUGAUUUUUAAUAUUUGUUUUACGAAUUACAAAUAUCUCUACAUUUUUCGCAUCAAAUCGAAAUAAACAACGAAUCAAAUCAAAUAUAAUGGAUAAAAUGCCUAACUCUAUUUUUAGGGUUGGAUUCGAAUCGGUUCUUACCGGAUCCUUUAGGUUUUAAGCAAUUAUAACCAAAAAUCCAAACAGAUCAUCAAUCAUAAGUUUGUAAAAGACUAUACAUAUCAAACAUCAGCCUAGCUUUCAACGGGGACUAACACACGUAAUCGAUAUACUAGUAGACGGACCAGACUGCAAUCUCUCAUCUAAUGGGUUUGACUUGGAUCUGACCCUGAAGACAAAUCCAGGUGGUUGAGGAAUAUGCAACGUAAUGGAUGUAUUAGUGAGCAUACGAAAGACUGUAGACAUGGUUGGACGAUCUGUAGGAUUUUCUUGAACGCAUAACAAUCCAAUGUGGAUGCACCUAAACACUUCAUUUCUGUCAUAAUUCUCCU